AUAUAUAUAUUGUGAUUGUGGAAUCUAUUAUCAUUACUCACCGAAGUUAAGCAAUGUCGGGCCCGGUCAGUACUUGGGAGGGUGACCACCUGGGAACACCGGGUGCUGUAGGCU